rnacentral:lncRNA from 1 species
CACAUUAAAUGGGACAAAGCUAAAGUCAUAAAAACUUUGAAAAAAGAAAAGCAUGCUACCUUAGCUGAGACCUUGGAAAUUUACGCUAGUGAAAGAACAAGCAACCUAAUAAACAUUAAUCAACUGGCUAAGGAAUUACCCGCCUCAUGGAAAUAUCUCUUAGGUAAAGAAAACCUCCAGGUGGGGGAUGAGGAAUGGCCCUUUGCAUUAAUAGAAUACCACUUUAUUGAGGAUAAUGAUAUUGCGUGGAUCUGGAGUCAUGCGAAACCUAAGAAUAGUCUCUCAACACAAUUACCUAUAUGCUGUGAUUGUACAGAUAGUGUUUAUCUAUUUUGUUUUAUUUUAUUUUGUAUUUAAACCAUGUUUUGCUUAUCAGCUGUGCUUUAUUUUGGGCUUGUCUAUGUUAUGUAUCCUUAUCUUGCUGUAUUUAUGCGAUA